AAAUUGAAGAGUUUGAUCAUGGCUCAGAUUGAACGCUGGCGGCAGGCCUAACACAUGCAAGUCGAACGGUAACAGGAAGCAGCUUGCUGCUUUGCUGACGAGUGGCGGACGGGUGAGUAAUGUCUGGGAAACUGCCUGAUGGAGGGGGAUAACUACUGGAAACGGUGGCUAAUACCGCAUAACGUCGCAAGACCAAAGAGGGGGACCUUCGGGCCUCUUGCCAUCAGAUGUGCCCAGAUGGGAUUAGCUUGUUGGUGAGGUAACGGCUCACCAAGGCGACGAUCCCUAGCUGGUCUGAGAGGAUGACCAGCCACACUGGAACUGAGACACGGUCCAGACUCCUACGGGAGGCAGCAGUGGGGAAUAUUGCACAAUGGGCGCAAGCCUGAUGCAGCCAUGCCGCGUGUAUGAAGAAGGCCUUCGGGUUGUAAAGUACUUUCAGCGGGGAGGAAGGUGUUGUGGUUAAUAACCGCAGCAAUUGACGUUACCCGCAGAAGAAGCACCGGCUAACUCCGUGCCAGCAGCCGCGGUAAUACGGAGGGUGCAAGCGUUAAUCGGAAUUACUGGGCGUAAAGCGCACGCAGGCGGUCUGUCAAGUCGGAUGUGAAAUCCCCGGGCUCAACCUGGGAACUGCAUUCGAAACUGGCAGGCUUGAGUCUUGUAGAGGGGGGUAGAAUUCCAGGUGUAGCGGUGAAAUGCGUAGAGAUCUGGAGGAAUACCGGUGGCGAAGGCGGCCCCCUGGACAAAGACUGACGCUCAGGUGCGAAAGCGUGGGGAGCAAACAGGAUUAGAUACCCUGGUAGUCCACGCCGUAAACGAUGUCUACUUGGAGGUUGUGCCCUUGAGGCGUGGCUUCCGGAGCUAACGCGUUAAGUAGACCGCCUGGGGAGUACGGCCGCAAGGUUAAAACUCAAAUGAAUUGACGGGGGCCCGCACAAGCGGUGGAGCAUGUGGUUUAAUUCGAUGCAACGCGAAGAACCUUACCUGGUCUUGACAUCCACAGAACUUUCCAGAGAUGGAUUGGUGCCUUCGGGAACUGUGAGACAGGUGCUGCAUGGCUGUCGUCAGCUCGUGUUGUGAAAUGUUGGGUUAAGUCCCGCAACGAGCGCAACCCUUAUCCUUUGUUGCCAGCGGUCCGGCCGGGAACUCAAAGGAGACUGCCAGUGAUAAACUGGAGGAAGGUGGGGAUGACGUCAAGUCAUCAUGGCCCUUACGACCAGGGCUACACACGUGCUACAAUGGCGCAUACAAAGAGAAGCGACCUCGCGAGAGCAAGCGGACCUCAUAAAGUGCGUCGUAGUCCGGAUUGGAGUCUGCAACUCGACUCCAUGAAGUCGGAAUCGCUAGUAAUCGUGGAUCAGAAUGCCACGGUGAAUACGUUCCCGGGCCUUGUACACACCGCCCGUCACACCAUGGGAGUGGGUUGCAAAAGAAGUAGGUAGCUUAACCUUCGGGAGGGCGCUUACCA
rnacentral:rRNA from 1 species